AAGCCAGACUCCUACGGGAGGCAGCAGUGGGGGAUAUUGCACAAUGGGGGGAACCCUGAUGCAGCGACGCCGCGUGGGUGAAGGAGCGUUUCGGCGCGUAAAGCCCUAUCGGCAGGGAAGAAGGAGGACGGUACCUGACUAAGAAGCCCCGGCUAACUACGUGCCAGCAGCCGCGGUAAUACGUAGGGAGCAAGCGUUAUCCGGAUUUACUGGGUGUAAAGGGGGCGUAGACGGCAGCGCAAGCCAGGAGUGAAAGCCCGGGGCCCAACCCCGGGACUGCUCUUGGAACUGCGCGGCUGGAGUGCAGGAGGGGCAGGCGGAAUUCCUGGUGUAGCGGUGAGAUGCGUAGAUAUCAGGAGGAACACCGGUGGCGAAGGCGGCCUGCUGGACUGCGACUGACGUUGAGGCCCGAAAGCGUGGGGAGCAAACAGGAUUAGAUACCCCUGUAA
rnacentral:rRNA from 1 species